CCUACGGGAGGCAGCAGUGAGGAAUAUUGGUCAAUGGGCUAACGCCUGAACCAGCCACGUCGCGUGAGUGAAGACGGCCCUCUGGUUUUUAAACCCUUUUUUUCAGGGAGCAACGCCGGCUACGUGUCUCCGGACUGAUCGUCCCUGAAGAAAAAGCAUCGGCUAACUCCGUGCCAGCGGACGCGGUAAUACGGAGGAUGCGGGGGUUAUCGGGAUUUAUUGGGGUUAAGGGUUGCGUGGGCGGAAUGCCAAGUCAGCGGUAAGAUCGCGGGGCUAAACCUAGCUCCGACGUGGAGACUGGGGUUCUUGAGUGGGCGAGAGGUAUGCGGAAUGCGUGGUGUAGCGGUGAAAUGCAUAGAUAUCAGGAAGAACUCCGAUUGCGAAGGCAGCAUACCGGCGCCCAACUGACGCUGAAGCACGAAAGCGUGGGUAUCGAACAGGAUUAGAUACCCCAGUAGUC
rnacentral:rRNA from 1 species